GGGCAUGUAGUAUAGGGGUUAUUGCGCUUGCUUCGCACUUCGUUGUCCGACGGGUUGGGAACGUAAUGCUCUGCGAGAGGUCUUGGGUUCGAUUCCCAACCUGUCCA